UACGUAUGGUGCAAGCGUUAUCCGGAUUUACUGGGCGCAAAGGGAGCGCAGGCGGCGCGCCAAGUCUGAUGUGAAACCCCGAGGCUCAACCCCGGGCAUGCAUUGGAAACUGGCGGGCUGGAGUGCCGGAGAGGUAAGCGGAAUUCCUAGUGUAGCGGUGAAAUGCGUAGAUAUUAGGAGGAACACCAGUGGCGAAGGCGGCUUACUGGACGGCAACUGACGCUGAGGCUCGAAAGCGUGGGGAGCAGACAGG
rnacentral:rRNA from 1 species